GUGCUCUCAUCGUGACAUGAGUUUCCUGCUUGAAGGAUGUGCUGAUGUGGUGCCUUCGCUUUCUGUCAAGCUACUGCCGUGCACUCUCUCGCCCAACACUCCAGCAAACUAGCAGCUGAAGAAUGACUGUGUCCUGUGUACCAUCGCAUGCCUGUUUAUACCCUGCUCCCUCUUUACGACGAGACACUACAGGUGCCUCCAACCUGUGAACAGCGUCAAGAUCCUCUCAGUUGUCCUGUUAUAACUACUAGCCAAGCAAUCUGGGAGAAUCACCCAUGUUUUUCCCGACAUCUUUGUUAGAACUCUGCUAGAUGUCAAUCAACCUUCAGAUCAGGUCUGGAAACCAAGAGGCUUGAUGCAAAACCAUGGCUUCUUUUUUUUGGUUCUUUUUAAAUGAUUUCGCAUUGUGUUUUGGACUGUUGAACACCCCAAAAUUCAUUUUUAACAUCCUUUUGGUAGACAAAAUUAAAAUAUCCUAUCCUAAAAUCUCUAUUUUCAAAAAAUUUCACCCAGAUACUUGUGGAAAGCAAAGUAGCCCAUCAGCUGUUUUUCAUGUUUGAUAUCAUUUGUGGUUGCUAAUAUUAUGUUUCCUUGACUAUAAAAGGGUUUUCUUCAUUUUAUGUUAGCUAGGUUUGCCCAGUCAAAGCUCAAACUAUAGAUUGUAGUAAAUUUCCCCAUACUUAUUUACCUGAUUUUACUUAAGUAAUGAUGUAAAGAGCAUGUAAAGUAAACAAGAGUGAUUUCAUUAUAAAUAAAAGUACACAAGAUGUCCGUUCCACAUCCUAAUCCUAGAGAAAGAACAUCACACCAGAGGACAUACCUUUGAG